UUUGGAAGUGGUGAACAAGAGAAAAGUUACUAUCUCACUUGAAGACAAUGGAUUACUGCUGGUGUAUAUAUGUAAAAUUACUUACUGGUGGUCUUACUUUCAGAUCGCAAGUUUGUCCGAAUCAGACUGGAAAAGAAUUGCUUGGACAUUCUUGGGUAUUGUGGUCCUGCGAUUUUUUAAUAUGCUCAUACACUGUGAGUAGCUAAAUGGUUUCUUGCCUUCUGUUAAAAUAUAGUGUUGUUUCUGUGGAGGAGGUAAAAGAGGAGUCCUAGUUUUGGUUCAGAUUUCUUGCCAAUAAUUAUCCCUUUGGCUGCAUUGUGUUCUUCCGGCAAC